UACGUAGGGUGCAAGCGUUGUCCGGAAUUAUUGGGCGUAAAGAGCUCGUAGGCGGCUUGUCGCGUCGGCUGUGAAAACCCGCGGCUCAACUGUGGGCGGGCAGCUGAUACGGGCAGGCUGGAGUUCGGUAGGGGAGACUGGAAUUCCUGGUGUAGCGGUGAAAUGCGCAGAUAUCGUAAGGAAGACCGAGUGGCGGAAGGCGGGUCUCUGGACAGUUCCUGACGCUGAGGCACGAAGGUCAGGGGAGCAAACGGGGAGUU
rnacentral:rRNA from 1 species